GAAGAAAUUUUGGAGCUUCUUAAGUCCACAUGGUGUAUUUUGGGAAUCACAAAAACCAUUCAUUACACUUGCUAUGCUUGGGUAUUAUUUCGACAGUUUGUCAUCACGGGAGAGCAAAGGAUCUUGCAAUAUGUCAUUGAACAGUUAAAAAAUGUACCAUUAAAGGAACAAAGGGGACCGCAAGAGAGAGAAUGCACUUGAAGAGUUUGCGUUCUAAAGUUGAAAUGGAAAAGGGAUUAUUUCUUACAGUCUUUCUUGUUGGCAAUUACAAAAUGGGAUGAUAAGCAGUUGGGAGACAACCAUCUCAAUUAUGAUGAGGGGUUGGUGAUGAUGGAAAACACUAGCAGCAGUUGUUGUGCUUGUUCGAAGGCCUGAAACAAUAUGUCUGACUACCUAUAUUUUCUGGUGAACUAUUUUAAGUUUGUUCUGGGGAAAAAAAUCAUAUGUCAUAUGUGAUGUCUCUUUUUUUCACUAUAAAAUACAUGGACACUUAUAAAUAAUAAAAUAUUGUAUUAUACGA